rfam:Triticum urartu cultivar G1812 contig1167520, whole genome shotgun sequence.
CUUAUACUCCCUUCGUCCAGAAAUACUUGUCAUCAAAAUGAAUAAAAGAAAAUAUAUCUAGAUGUAUUUUAGUUAUAUAUACACCUCUUUCUAUCCAUUUUGAUGACAAAUAUUUUCGGACGGAGAGAGUAAAAA